AUUGAACGCUGGCGGCAGGCCUAACACAUGCAAGUCGAACGAGUGGCGGACGGGUGAGUAAUGUAUGGGAAACUGCCCGAUGGAGGGGGAUAACUACUGGAAACGGUAGCUAAUACCGCAUACCAUCGAGUGUUCCCAGAUGGGCUUAGCUAGUUGGUGAGGUAAAGGCUCACCAAGGCGACGAUACAUACCCGACCUGAGAGGGGAAUCGGCCACACUGGGACUGAGACACGGUCCAGACUCCUACGUGAGGCAGCAGUGGGGAAUAUUGCACAAUGGGCGCAAGCCUGAUGCAGCCAUGCCGCGUGUAUGAAGAAGGCCUUCGGGUUGUAAAGUACUUUCAGCGAGGAGGCGUUACUCGCAGAAGAAGCACCGGCUAACUCCGUGCCAGCAGCCGCGGUAAUAC
rnacentral:rRNA from 1 species